AUUGAACGCUGGCGGCAGGCCUAACACAUGCAAGUCGAACGAGUGGCGGACGGGUGAGUAAUGUCUGGGAAACUGCCCGAUGGCGGGGGAUAACUACUGGAAACGGUAGCUAAUACCGCAUAACAUCAGAUGUGCCCAGAUGGGAUUAGCUGGUUGGUGGGGUAACGGCUCACCAAGGCGACGAUCCCUAGCUGGUCUGAGAGAAUGAGCAGCAACACUGUAACUGAGACACGGUCCAGACUCCAACGGGAGGCAGCAGUGGUGAAUAUUUCACAAUGGGCGCAAGCCCGAGACAGCCAUUCCGCGUGUAUGAAGAAGGCCUUCGGGUUGUAAAGUACUUUCAGCGGGGAGGCGUUACCCGCAGAAGAAGCACCGGCUAACUCCGUGCCAGCCGCCGCGGUAAUAC
rnacentral:rRNA from 1 species